AAUUUAAUAAUGUAAUAUAUUGUACUAAAUGGGAUAUUUAAUUUGCAGCCUUCAGUUCCUCCUAUUGAUGCUUUGAAUGAAAUUUAUGAAGAACCACAUAGUCGUGUUUAUCGGUUUUCCCGUACCGUUGGUACCGAUUUUAUCCUUCCCGAUUGUGUUUCUGAAAUGGCCAAACUUAAUAUUUGUUUGAAAGAUAUAACCGUCAGACUUUUGAAUCUGGAACCUCCACUUCAGUUUACCAAUGGUACAAGACGUGAAAGGACACAUAACGGUUUUCGAUAUGCGUUAACGCAAUGGUCUAACUUCAUGAAGACUGCUGAAAUUAAGGUCCGUGACACCGUUGACUAUUGUUUUGACGAAAAUGAUCAAGUGCUGAUUGUUGAAAAGGUUGUACCUUACGUUAGUGGUCGUAUUUAGUUAUUUGACUCUUUCGAUGUUGUUUUUUCCUUUAUCAUUAGUAUCUAUUUUAACU